UACAGAGGGUGCAAGCGUUAAUCGGAAUUACUGGGCGUAAAGCGUGCGUAGACGGUUAUGUAAGUCAGAUGUGAAAGCCCAGGGCUCAACCUUGGAAUUGCAUUUGAGACUGCAUAGCUAGGGUGCGGAAGAGGGAAGCGGAAUUUCCGGUGUAGCGGUGAAAUGCGUAGAUAUCGGAAGGAACACCAGCGGCGAAAGCGGCUUCCUGGUCCAGCACCGACGUUCAGGCACGAAAGCGUGGGGAGCAAACAGG
rnacentral:rRNA from 1 species